rnacentral:rRNA from 1 species
GACGAACGCUGGCGGCGUGCUUAACACAUGCAAGUCGAACGCUGAAGCACCAGCUUGCUGGUGUGGAUGAGUGGCGAACGGGUGAGUAAUACGUGAGUAACCUGCCCUUGACUCUGGGAUAAGCCCGGGAAACUGGGUCUAAUACUGGAUGCUACAUGUCACCGCAUGGUGGUGUGUGGAAAGGGUUUACUGGUCUUGGAUAGGCUCACGGCCUAUCAGCUUGUUGGUGAGGUAAUGGCUCACCAAGGCGACGACGGGUAGCCGGCCUGAGAGGGUGACCGGCCACACUGGGACUGAGACACGGCCCAGACUCCUACGGGAGGCAGCAGUGGGGAAGAGUGCACAAUGGGCGAAAGCCUGAUGCAGCGACGCCGCGUGAGGGAUGACGGCCUUCGGGUUGUAAACCUCGUUCAGCAGGGAAGAAGCCACAAGUGACGGUACCUGCAGAAGAAGCGCCGGCUAACUACGUG